GUGUCCCAGGAGGAAUAGAGACGUGUUUUCAAUAGCUCCAAGGGGUGAUUCUUAUGGACCGAGUCCCUCACUCCGUACCAGGCAUGAAGUCGAUGGAGAUCACUUCAGCUGUACACAAUGCUGUUGCAAAUGGAACUGUAAAAAGACAGGACAACAGGCGGCAGAUCAAUUCAGUUCUGUGUCCAAAAAUAACAACAACGAAGCUCCAUGCCAAGGCAACAGCCCCCUGCUUGCAAAUAGGUAGCAGAUAGAGCAAAGUUUGGCCUCGGGCUGACCUACAAAUCAUGCAUGGUACGUCUAAUACACCUCUAUUCUUUCCUCUACCUGUGUUCCUGUCCUGUCCCUGUAGCCUUCACGCUUUGUUUUUGACAGAAUGUGACUAAACGGAGAUCAAUGAAUAUGCAAUUCAUUAUCUUUUGCAUCACAGACUUGAAUCACGUUCACCAGCUCAACUUUACCAGAAUGGUUGAAAUAUAUUUACAGUAUUAUCCAAACUUACUUAAAAGGGUGGAGACAAUGGGGUCUACUUUUGUGGCGCACCGCAAGGAGGCGCAGCGUGGCGCACUCCAUGCAGUGGUAAUUUGGUCCAACACAUCAUUGUGCGCAGCCAAUUUGGUAAUUUAGUAGACUGGGCUACGCCGAAUUGGGCAUGGUGGCACACCAGGGGAGAUAUCCACAUUAUCAACCCUCUCAACGCCUUGUCUCCUCCCUCUUUGCCUCACUUGCGGCGGUGGGAGGGACGGGGGUGUGGGUGUGCCGCGCUGCGCCUGCUCUACAAAAUUAUAACCCAACGGGUUCAAACAACGAGACAUUGGGUUCAAACAUCCAUCUGUUUUGUAUGCCGCUUAUCCUCACUUAGCAUCCCAGCUGUCUUUGGGCGAGAGCCGGGGAACACCCUGGAUUGGUCGCAAGCCAAUUGCAGCCUUGUGGGACUAAUAAAGGCAUAUCUUAUCCUAACAUGCAAACUCCACACAAAGAUGUCCAACAUAGAUUAGAACCCAAAUCUUCCAGAUCUCUUAACUGUGUGGCCUGACAUGCUAGGCUGCCACAUGGCCUAUACCAGGGGUCUCAAAUACGUGGCCCGCGGGCCAAAUGUGGCACUAGUUUGAGGCCCCCGCCUUGAUAUGAAAGUUUAAUGUUAGUGCGGCCCGCACAAGUUUGAUAUGGAUGCUGUAUGGUAUCAUGUACCCAGAAAAAAUUCAGUUGCAGCUGCAGUUGCGCAAUAUGUUGUAAAU